rnacentral:rRNA from 1 species
UGGGGAAUUUUGGACAAUGGGCGAAAGCCUGAUCCAGCAAUGCCGCGUGUGUGAAGAAGGCCUUCGGGUUGUAAAGCACUUUUGUCCGGAAAGAAAUCCUUGGCUCUAAUACAGUCGGGGGAUGACGGUACCGGAAGAAUAAGCACCGGCUAACUACGUGCCAGCAGCCGCGGUAAUACGUAGGGUGCAAGCGUUAAUCGGAAUUACUGGGCGUAAAGCGUGCGCAGGCGGUUUGCUAAGACCGAUGUGAAAUCCCCGGGCUCAACCUGGGAACUGCAUUGGUGACUGGCAGGCUAGAGUAUGGCAGAGGGGGGUAGAAUUCCACGUGUAGCAGUGAAAUGCGUAGAGAUGUGGAGGAAUACCGAUGGCGAAGGCAGCCCCCUGGGCCAAUACUGACGCUCAUGCACGAAAGCGUGGGGAGCAAACAGGAUUAGAUACCCUGGUAGUCCACGCCCUAAACGAUGUCAACUAGUUGUUGGGGAUUCAUUUCCUUAGUAACGUAGCUAACGCGUGAAGUUGACCGCCUGGGGAGUACGGUCGCAAGAUUAAAACUCAAAGAAAUUGACGGGGUCAUAGCUGUUUCC